CUCGCCAAGUCAUGAAGUCCGGGAAGGACUCCACGCCCUGCCCCUGAAGGGGAGGGAGCACUCUUGGACCACGCCUGUCCCAGCCACGGGACCCCCGCUCCGCAGCUGGGGACCCUGUGAAGUUGGCCCUGGGAGAGUCAUCUCCCAGGCUUUUGGUUCUUCUUGAUGGCAACAUCUGCCCAGGAGUCCCCGCCUGGCCUCCCACAGCCCUAGGGUGAGAGGUAAGAAAUAGCUACUGUUGGCUGGGCGCAGUGGCUCACGCCUAUAAUCCCAGCACUUUGGGAGGCCGAGGUGGGCGGAUCACCUGAGGUCGGGAGUUUGAGACCAGCCUGACCAACAUGGAGAAACCCCGUCCCUACUAAAAAUACAAAAUUAGCCAGGUGCGGUGGCGCAUGCCUGUAAUCCCAGCUAGUCAGGAGGCUGAGGCAGGAGAAUCACUUGAACCUGGGAGGCAGAUGUUGCAGUGAGCCAGAUUGUGCCAUUGCACUCCAGCCUGGGCAACAAGAGUGAAACUCUGUUUCAAAAAAAAAAAAAAAGAAAAGAAAAGAAAAAAAGAAAUAGCUACUGUUGGCCGGUGGCUCACACCGGUAAUCCCAGCACUUUGGGAAGCCAAGGCGGACAGAUCACUUGAGCUCAGGAGUUCAAGACCAGCCUGGCCAAUAUGGCAAAAUCCUGUCUCUACCAAAAAUACAAAAUUAACCGGGUAUGGUGACGCAUGCCUGUAAUCCCAGCUUCUCCACAGGCUGAGGUGGAAGGAUCGCUUGAGACUGGAGGGGUGGAGGUUGCAGUGAGCCAAGAUUGCACCACUGCACUGCAGCCUGGGUAGCAGAGCAAGACCCUGUCUCAAAACCAAAAAUGAGAUAGCUGCUGUUUUCUGGGCUAUUUCAUUACAUUAUUCAGCAGCCUGAUUCCCAUUUUCUUUUAUUAUUUAUUUAUUUAUUUAUUUUCGAGAUGGAGUUCUGCUCUGUCGCCCAGGCUAGAGUGUAGCCGUACGAUCUCGGCUCACUGCAACCUCUGCCUCCCGGUUUCCAGCAAUUCUCUGCCUCAGCCUCCCAAGUAGCUGGGAUUACAGGAGCCCACCACCACGCCUGGCUAAUUUUUUGAAUUUUUAGUAGAGAUGGGGUUUCACCAUGUUGGCCAGGCUGAUCUUGAACUCCUGACCUCGAGAUCCACCCGCCUCUGCCUCCCAAAGUGUUGGGAUUACAGGCGUGAGCCACAGCACGUGGCGCUAUUUAUUUAUUUACUUCUUCUUAUUAUUAUUAUUUGAGUCGGAGUCUUGCUCUGUCACCCAGGCUGGAGUGCAGUGGCGCGAUCUCAGCUUACUGAAAGCUCCGCCUCCCGGGUUCACGCCAUUCUCCUGCCUCAGCCUCCCGAGUAGCUGGGACUACAGGCGCGUGCCACCACACCCAGCUAAUUUUUGUAUUUUUAGUAGAGAUGAGGUUUCUCCAUGUUGACCAGGCUGCUCUCAAACUCCUGACCUAAAGUGAUCCGCCCACCUCAGCCUGCCAAGGUAAACCAACUGUGAUUUCUGUUUUCUGGAUCAGGAAACUAAGGAUCAGAGAGGCAGAGUAACUUGCCCCAGGUCACACAGCCAGAAAUUGCCAGCCCCAGGGUUUGAACCUUGAGUUAUGUGUCUUUAAGGUCUUUGGUUUCUGUUUGUUUUGGGGUUUUUUUGUUUUGUUUUGUUUUUGAGAGAGUCUCACUUCGUCUGGAAGUGAGGCUGGAGUGCAGCGGUGGGAUCUCAGCUCACUGCAACCUCCGCUUUCCAGGUUCAAGCAAUUCUCCUGCCUCAGCCUCCUGAGUAGCUGGGAUUACAGGUAUGCGCCACCACACCCGGCUAAUUUUUGUAUUUUUAGUACAGACAGGGUUUUGCCAUGUGGGCCAGGCUGGUCUCGAACUCCUGACCUCAGGUGAUCCACCCACCUCUGCCUCCCAAAGUGCUGGGAUUACAGGCAUGAGCCACUGCGCCCAGCAGGUCUUUGUUUUUGACAUUUUCUACUCUUUCUCUUCUUUCCUUCCCUCUGCAUCCCCUCCCAAUUCUAGGACUCCUAAUUCUUUCUUUUUUUUUUUUUUUUUUUUUUUUUUUUUUUUUGAGACGGAGUCUCGCUCUGUCACCCAGACUGGAGUGCGGUGGCUGGAUCUCUGCUCACUGCAAGCUCUGCCUCCCGGGUUCACACCAUUCUCCUGCCUUAGGCUCCCAAGUAGCUGGGACUACAGGCGCCCGCCACCAAGCCCGGCUAAUUUUUUGUAUUUUUAGUAGAGACAGGGUUUCACCAUGUUAACCAGGAUGGUCUCAAUUUCCUGACCUCCUGAUCCACCCGCCUUGGCCCCUCAAAGUGCUCGGAUUACAGGUGUGAGCCACCGCGCCCAGCCAGGACGCCUAGUUCUUUCUCACUGAGAAGAGGGGAACGGCGGUGAGCAUGCUGCCACAAGGUGGCACUGCUGGUCCCAGAUGGGUCCCUGCCUGGCACAGGUGUUCCCUGUCUCUCCUCUGACCCUUCCUUCCCUCCAUCCAUCCAUCCGUUUUUAAGCAUGUCCUAUUGAGUGUGAGCCAGGCCAGCGAUUCACUGGAUAUGCAGUCAUUCAACAAACAAUAAUUAAGCACCUGCUGUGUGCCAAGCCUGUGCUGGGCAGCCCUGGAGACAGACACAGGAUGGCAGGAUUGCAUUAAGACUUCUGGGGCCAGCUAUGGUGGCUCACACCUGUAAUCCCAGCACUUUGGGAGGCCGAGGAUGGUGGAUCACCUGAGGUCAGGAGUUUAAGAACAGCCUGGCCAACGGACAGAAACCCUGUCUCUAUUAAAAAUACAAAAUUAGCCAGGCAUGGUGGCGCAUGCCUGUAAUCCCAGCUAGUUGGGAGGCUGAGGCAGGAGAAUCGCUUGAACCCGGGAUGGUGAGGUGAGAAUUGCUUGAAUCCUCUCUGAGCCAUCCCUGUCCUCCCCUCCUCCCUCCCUCUCGCUCACUCUUUGCACUCCAGCCUGAGCGACAAAAACGAAACUCUGUCUCAAAAAAAAAAAAAAAGACUUUUGCGGCCAGGCACGGUGGCUCAGCUCUUUGGGAGGUUGAGGCCAGAGGAUCACUGGAGGCCAGGAGUUCGAGACCAGCCAGGCCACAUAGCAAGACCCCGUCUCUGCACAAACUUAAAAAAUGUAGCCAGGCAUGAUGGUGCCUGCCUGGGGCAUCGGCUACUUCGAAGGUUGAGGAGGGAGGAUUGCUUGAGCCCAAGAGUUCUAGUCUGCAGUGAGCUGUGAUAGCACCACUGCACUCCAGUCUGGGCGACAGAGCAAGACCCUGACUCAAAACAAAAAACAAACAAACAAAGGCUUUUGGGGCUGGGCACAGUGGCUCAUGCCUAUAAUUCCCAGAAGAUUGGGAGUCUGAGGCAGAAGAAUUACUUGAAGCCAGGAGGUUCUGUUUUGUUUUGUUUUCUUUUCUUUUGAGAUGGAGUGUGACCAGGUGGAUAAAAUAGAGGGUUAUCAGGGCUGUGAUAGGGUGCACAAGUGUGAUGGAGCCUGGGGUAGGUGCUGGACCUAGGUGGGUGAGAGUAGUUCUGGAGGACUUUCAGGAUGAGGUGAUGUCUAAGCUGAGCCCUGAGAAGUGAACAGCGAUCAGGCAGGUAAAGGCACCAAAAAGCUGUUUCAGGCCAAGGGAACAGAGAGUGCUAAGACACAGAAUAAGACUGGAGCGUAGAAUGUGGUGGGGGUGGCAUCAGGGGAAAAAAGAUGAAGCUGGACAGAGUGGCCAGGGUCAGGCUGCCAGAUCUAAGGGCACUGGGGAGCCACAGUAGGUUCCAGAGCAGGAGCAGCAAGGGCAAGUUGGAACAUUUGAAAGAUCUCUUGGGCCACCCUGUGGAUAAUGAUUCAAAGGGAAUAAGACUGGAGGAUGAGGAAUGGGAGGAGGAAAGGAACCAAAUGCUUCAGGUAACUCUGGAAGAAAAAGUAGGACAUACGUGGUGGCAAGGCCAGAUAUGGUGGCUCACGCCUGCAAUCCCAGCACUUUGAGAGGCGGAGGUGGGAGGAUCGCUUGAGCCCAGGAGUUCGAGACCAACCUGGGCAACAUAGUGAGACCCUGUCUCUGUUUUGUUUGUUCGUUUUAGAGAAAGAAAAUAAAAAGAAAGGUGGUAUUGGAGAGGGAACAGUACAGAAGGACGUUCCAGUCACAGUAGCAU
rnacentral:lncRNA from 1 species